AAAUGUGUAUAUGUUUCAUUCCUCAACCCUUAGCAUUCUACCUUAAUUAUCCACAUUCGUAUUCAAUAGGAAAAAAUUAUAAAACAAAGAACAAAAAACAGUCCGUUAAUAAAUCAACUAGUAGCAUUAUAUUGCAGUAAAAUGCUUCAGGAUGUAAUAAUAUAAACUGCCUUCAAUCAUAUCAUGUUUCAAAUCUCAAUUAGCUUCUAGC